GUGAGGAAUAUUGGACAAUGGGCGAAAGCCUGAUCCAGCAAUGCCGCGUGAGUGAUGAAGGCCUUAGGGUUGUAAAGCUCUUUUACCAGGGAUGAUAAUGACAGUACCUGGAGAAUAAGCUCCGGCUAACUCCGUGCCAGCAGCCGCGGUAAUACGGAGGGAGCUAGCGUUGUUCGGAAUUACUGGGCGUAAAGCGCGCGUAGGCGGCGAUUUAAGUCAGAGGUGAAAGCCCGGGGCUCAACCCCGGAAUAGCCUUUGAGACUGGAUUGCUAGAAUCCUGGAGAGGUGAGUGGAAUUCCGAGUGUAGAGGUGAAAUUCGUAGAUAUUCGGAAGAACACCAGUGGCGAAGGCGGCUCACUGGACAGGUAUUGACGCUGAGGUGCGAAAGCGUGGGGAGCAAACAGGAUUAGAUACCCCUGUAGUCC
rnacentral:rRNA from 1 species